ACUUAAAUUGAAGAGUUUGAUCAUGGCUCAGAUUGAACGCUGGCGGCAGGCCUAACACAUGCAAGUCGAACGGUAGCACAGAGAGCUUGCUCUCGGGUGACGAGUGGCGGACGGGUGAGUAAUGUCUGGGAAACUGCCCGAUGGAGGGGGAUAACUACUGGAAACGGUGGCUAAUACCGCAUAACGUCGCAAGACCAAAGUGGGGGACCUUCGGGCCUCACACCAUCGGAUGUGCCCAGAUGGGAUUAGCUAGUAGGUGGGGUAACGGCUCACCUAGGCGACGAUCCCUAGCUGGUCUGAGAGGAUGACCAGCCACACUGGAACUGAGACACGGUCCAGACUCCUACGGGAG
rnacentral:rRNA from 1 species